GGGGCGGGAAUUAUGGUACGAAGGAAGUAUAUGAGGAUCGCAUGGUUGCCUGACAAUCGUGGAUCCACCGACAGCUUUUAAAGCCCAAUAUGUAAUGAAGGUAGUUUCGAAACCGGGCUACCAUUGGUGUGAGGGAUAGGUGGGUCGAUAUUUAUAUCCCCACAUAUUGUGACGGGGGACGGAGCUUGUGUGUAGCGGAUGGAUAAUUUGGAUGGGAUUGCAUUGUGAUGCUCAGUAGAAGUUUCGAUGUUUAGAGGGACUCUGGGUGGCCGGCUAGUAAGAUAAUUUGGACUUGGUUUAUUUUUAAGUAUUUAAGUUGUUAUUUCUUUUGGAGUGUGUUCAGAUCAGAUUGUAAUAAGGUUUUCAUUAUGUUUCUAUAACUUGAAUUAUUAUUAUUAUUUUCAUUGUAAUUAUGAGAAGUUGAACAUGGAUUUCUUAAUUAUAGUAUGUUUUCUACA